UUCAAAGCUGCCUUUUCGUAUGUAGCUACUGUUCAUAAUACUGAAAGUGGUUUCCUGCAUGCGUUGCUUUAGAACUCAAUUAACAUUGAUUUGUCCACUGCUGCAGACUAUGUUAACACUAACAACUUAGAAUAAAUUUAGGUUUGCUCUUUAUGAAUAAGUUCAAUAACUUGCUGCUUUCAUUCCUACUUCCUUUCCAAUGCGUUCUAAUUAAAAGUUAUUAAUGUUUGUGUUUCCUGGCAAUUUUACUUUUAUAUUCCUAUUCAAAUUACCAUAUUACUGAUAUGUAUAUUUUUCCUAAUGUCGCAUUUUAUUGUUUGUUAUUUCUAUUUACAAGUUUAAUGACUCUACUUGGAUGUUCAACAUUUAACUUUCAGAAAAUUUUCAUAGUUCAUUAAUUUAACUUGCUCUAUUUUUCAGGUAUGAACUGUUCUAACAGCAAGCGCUAGAGCAGUGGUCCAGAAAAUGGUUAGUUUCGUUAAAGGUGUCAGAAGAGCAUAUAAAAAAUACUAUGUGCAUUUUUUUAUUUUUAAAAAGGUUUAUUAAUAUUUAACCUAUAGAUUGGCUAGGACAUGCUCUGUUGGUCUUUAUCAAACAGUCACAUGUCACAAACAGCAUUUGAAUUGCCUGAAGAAAGAGUGAGUGCUUUACAAUGUGAGUACAAGCUCAUUGUACUAUAUUGUGUUUCAUACUUGACCGUUUAAGUAGAUUUAUAAAUAUUCACUAAUUUUAACUAAGUUAAAGCAGAAAGGAUAAUUGGUUUAAAACACUUCUAAAAGAGUAAGCAAGAAAGGAUAAAAGAAAGACAAUCUGUGGAAUGGAGAUAAUACAAAUAAUGUAAACAUUAGAAAACAACGAGAAAAUUACAAAAUCAAUUUAUCUUCCUGACCACAAAAUUGGAGAACUUCAUAGCCUUGUUAUGUUUGUGUGUAUUUAUGUAUUUAUUUAUUAUUAUUAUUGUUAUUAUUUAUUUAUUUAUUUUUGAAAUGGAGUCUCGGUCUGUCACCCAGGCUGGAGUGCAAUGGUGUGAUUUCAACUCACUGUAACCUCUGCCUCCCGGCUUCAAGCGAUUCUCCUGCCUCAGCCUCCCGAGUAGCAGGCAACAGGCGCCCGCCACCACUCCCAGCUAAUUUUUGUAUUUUUAGUAGAGAAGGGGUUUCACCAUGUUGGCCAGGCUUGUCUCGAGCUCCUCAGCCUCCCAAAGUGCUGGGAUUACAGGCUUGAGCCACCACGCCUGGCCCGUUGUUAUGCAUUUGAAACAAUGAUGUUCUCAAGGUUAUCUGACCAAAAGUUUACCUAAAACUAGUUAGUAAGAAGAUUAGCUGAAAUUAUACCUACUACCAUUAGUGAUGAAAUUAACCCUAAAGGAAUUUUAUGUCUAAUAAUAUUAAUACAUGAUAAUAUGAAGUCUUCAUGAUACGUGAGAUAGUUUUUAAACAUGGAAAAAGCGAAGACAAAUUUCUUCGAUUUUUAUAGAAGGAAUUUAAAAAGUUAAUACUCAUUAUGUUACUUUACCAAAUGUUACUUCCACAAGUAACUCAUGUUUGUAAGUCAGAUUUCAGUGAUGGACAUAAAAACCAAAAAGAAUUAGGCAAAUACUUGUCCUUCCUGCAAUAGAGCACUGGAAUAUCACAUCAAAAGAAACAUAAUGCAUUUCUUUAGAAGAUAAAAAUAAAUUGCUAGAAGAUUUGAACAAACAAGUACUUUGUGGGGGUACUCAGUUGUAUGAAAGUACCUAUAUUUCAAAUGCGCCCCAUUUUAUGGUAUUCCACUUCAGCAAUGAAAUACAUAAAUAACUACUUUUGUGUGAUCUUCUAGAAAAAAAGUACAAGGGAGAAAAUAAGUUUUCCAUACUGCCUUUAAUAAAAUCAAUGCUUUCUUGAAACACUUAUUUAAAUAAAACUGCUCACAGAGCAGCUUCUUAGAUUAGAAUGAAAAGAGAAUUCCAGGAUGAAACAACGCCACACAUGAAAAUCCUUCUGUUCUUAUUCAGAGACAUGCUUUGCAGUGUAAUACGUUUUUCUAGGUUUUUGUGCUUUAGUUUGGAAUACCCUUAUUUUGCGAGAGAAUUCCAAAAAACUGCUGCAAGAGUUACUUUUGUACUAAUUUUAUACUAAUUGGCUAAACCUAAAGGUAAAACACUGUGAGACAUGAGUUUCAGAUGAUAUGGUUUUGACUUUCUGGCUGAAAUAACUGCUUAGACACUGGCUGCAGAUGCUCUCUGCCAAAGCAUGCUGUAUGUAUUUAGAAUACAAAGCAUUUGGAUAAUUACACUGUUGUGGUUAGAGUUAUUAAAGUAAGAUUCUUCUAAAAUAUGGUAAAGUCUUGUCAAUACAUAACCAAGUUUAAGAGACUCCUUCCUAGGCAUGAAAACCAAGUCUUCAGUCAUCAUGCAACUAUCAAAACCUCUUUCUGUUGAAGCUUUCAUAAAGUCCACACUAAACAAAUCUGGGUUAACAGAUACAUCAAUAAGUAAAAAACUAAUUAACGCAAAAAUAAAUUGCAGUUUUAAAUACAAUGUCUUCUCUCCAUUAAGAUUAUUUUAAUAAUGCAUGUUUAAUUCAAAGAGCAAUGUAACUGUGAAAAAUAAUUUAAGAUAAACUCUGUAGUAAGUCAAGAUACAUACUCAUGUAUCUGUCUACACUCAAAUGAAAUAUAAAGCCUUAUACUCCAUGUUUAUUGGCUUUUGUAAUCCUUUUUAGGUGGAAUGUUUUUCUUUUCCUUUUAGCUUUCUUUAACAUUAUUUAACUCUUAAUGUGUACUAGGUUAUGCAUUGGCUUCGCUCAUCUCAUUUCAAUUAGAGAUGAAUACCAAUCUAUGAGACAAAGUCAAAGCUUUGAAAUUUUAAGAAUUAAUUUGCAAACAACAUAUUUUGAAAUAGCAGAAUUUGUGAAUCACAAAAUAACUACAUAAUUAAAUCAAUUGCAGGAAGUCUGUAAUAAUUAGUCAUUCCUCAAGAAAAUCAAAUAGUCAUAAAAGGCAAAGAUAGCCUCUCCUUAGAUGCCUGUGGCAGUCAUUUUCAACGAGACUUGGGACUCAAAUUAGGAGGCCCACAUUUAGAACAAUGAGAAGAGUUUUGCCACCUGCUGUAGAGUUUUGUGGAAGAGUGUUUCUCCAAAGGACCAAUUUUCUUAAAGAAUGAUUGAAUACAUUUCUUUUUUUGGAAAAGCAAACAUUUAAUUAUACAGGAAGUUUUCUCCCAAAGAGUCAGAAAAAAUUUUUUGUCAACUUAAGCUUUAAUUAAACUUAAGAAUAAUUUAUCACUUUUAAAAACACAAUAUGUUCCUAUCAAAAUCUCAAAGACUUUUUUUUUUACAGAAAUAGAUAAAAACAAUGCUACAAUUCAUAUGGAACUACAAAGGCCACAAAUAGCUAAAUCAAUCCUGAGAAAGAAGAACAAAGUUGGGGGCAUCGCACUUUCUGAUUUCUAAAUAUAUUCUGAAGUUACAGUAAUAAAAACAGUAUGGUACCGGUUAGAGACAGACAUAUAAGACCAAUAAAACAUGCAAAUCACAACCACAAUAAGAUACCAUCUUACACCAGUCAGAAUUGCUAUUCUUAAAAAGUAUUUUAAAAAUGACAGAUGUUGAUGAGGCUGCAGAGAAAAGGGAAUGCUUAUACACUGCUGGUGGGAAUGUAAUUCAAUUAAUGUAAUUAAUUGAACCUCUAGGGAAAGCAUUUGGAUAGUUCUCAAAAAACUUAAAAGUACCAUUCAACCCAGUAAUCCCAUUGCUGGCUAUAUACCCAGAGAAAUAUAAAUCAUUCUACCAAAAAGACAUAUGUAUCUGUUAUGUCCAUAGCAGCACUAUUCACAAUAGCAAAGACAUGGAAUUGACCUAGGUUCCCAUCAGUGGUGUUUUGGAUAAAGCAAAUAUGAUUCAUGUAUAUCAUGAAAUACUAUGCAGCCAUAAAAGGAAGGAAAUCAUGUCCUUUGCAGCAACACGCAUCAAAAUCAUCAUCCUAAGCAAAUUAAUACAGGAACAGAAGACCAAAUACCACAUGUUCUCACUUAUAAGUGGGAGCUAAACCUUUGGUACUCAUAGACAUAAAGAUGGGAAAAAUAGACACUGUGGACUACUAGAGGGAGGAGAGACAUGAGGGCAAAUAUUGAAAAACUACCUAUUUGGUGAUGAUAAUUCAUAACCCAAACUGCAGCAUCAUUCAGUACACUCAUGUGACAAACCUGCUUAUGUACCCCCUGAAUCUAAAAUGAAACUUGAAAUUAUUUUUAAAAGAAGAAUAAAAAUAAUAAAGAGUUCAGAAAUAAACCUGUGCAUUUAUAGUGAAUUGAUCAAUGGACUUUAAUCUUUUACUGAGUAUAUGCAGCAUUAUUCCUCAUACAUUUUACUUAGUAACUUCUAAAUUAAAAUUUGCUUUCAUAUAUGUUGUGCUUACCAGGGAGACACAGCACUAUCCAUAAGAAUCCAAUGUCUGAUUCCCAUUGCAUUCAGAGUUCUCAGUGCCAUCUUCACUGUAAUGUAUAUUCAGAUAUAUUCUGAAUAAAAGGAAGGGGCAUGUUGGCAAGAAGAUUCUGACUGCAUAUCAGGAUUAGACCCAGGCUCUUUGAACUUUUUGUUUCUGUAUCUUUCAAUUGUGUGGCUUUGGGAAAAUUUACUUGAUCUCUGUGCUUGAAUUUUAUCAUCUGAAAAGUGUUAAUAAGAAUACUAAUGAAAUUUCAGAGAUAAUAAACCUAAAAGGCAUUGGAGUAUGUACUUGUUAAAUAUUAGUUGUUGCUGCUAUCUGGAUCUUAAGAUAUGUGAGUCACAAAAGAGUAAGGAGUGUCCACCUGAGGAGGAUGAAGAAGUGGUAACCUCAGGAAUAAGCUGAAUUCAGUUAUGCCAAAUGGGGAAAAUGAAUAUUGAAGAAUAAAUGAGUUAAUUAUCAUAGAAUUGGGGUUUCUGAUAGCACAAUAAAUGAGUGCUGCUUCAAUAAAGAAGUGAGCAAUAAAAGAAAGCAUGAAUCUAAAAUUUUUACAUAACAGGAUGGUUGUGUUGAAAAGACUAGAUAAUUAGAUUGGCCUGUAAUUUAGAUUAUGGACAAAAUUAUGAAGACAGGAAAGUCAGUUAGCUUAUAUGUCCACUAGAAUGAGUUUAGACCUCUCAAGUGUCAGUUAUGUUCAGAUGAAUUGUACCUUCUCUCAAGUGCUACAUUCUCUUGGAUGGGAGAUAACUUUGUCCCCUGGUGAAAGCUCGCAUUGGUUGCUCAGGCACUGGGAAGCUGUUUUUGUUUGGAGUGUGCUUAUAUGCAUCCUAUAGGGGGACAGCUGAAAACCUGGUCUCCAUCUGCUAAUCUGGUGGGCAGACGCCAUAGUGGAGAGAAACCUGGUAUGCAGAAGAUGAAGACAUAGCACAACGUAAGUCAUGUCCUAUAGAUCUAUAUCACCUGUAAGGCAUAAUAUCCCAGCAUGUGCCUCUGAACUCACAUUCUGAAGGUGCGGCAAACAUGGAUGGGAUCCCUAGAGGAGUGGGCACCCGAAAUAUAUGCUUCUUGACCAUGCAGGCAAGAGUGGAAAAUUGUUAGUAUUUAGAUUUAUGUAUAUGGUAAUAUGAUUUAAACAUGCUUUGUUCACAUAUUUCUAUCUAAUGAAGUUAUCUUCCUGUCCUAGUGAGGUGGGUAACAAUGUGUCUCACUGUCACUGUUUUGGAGAUUUUGCUGAACUUGGUGAACUUGCUCUACUCUGGCCUGGACAGAAAAGAAAAGAAAAACUUAAACUUCUUGGUUUCCUUGUUCUGCCUUCCUAUUGUGAUGGGAAAAGACAACAUAGAGUAGAAAUUAACAAAAGAAUCUCUGGAGUGAGGCAUUCUGAAAUUUUACUGAAGCUCUAAAACUUAACAGCUAUGGAAAUGGUAUAUGAUACAUCAGCAAAAUGCUGCUGUGCAGGAACAGCAUCCCUUGAGUGAUUGUGGUCUUCCUUGUAACUUCACUACUUAUUCUACUACUGAACCAAGCAUAAUUAAAGAUGAAAACAAGUGAACAGUAUUGUGAUAAAGGAAAGAGCCGAGGUCAGAAUGAGAAACACAUCCCCACGGGAGUUCUGACCAUCAGUAACAUGAGUUAGCUGGUGUGCACUCUGCUCUGUAACCCUGGAAUCUCCUUUCUACUCGGAGGGAACGAGAUGUACAGCAUGAAGAAGUAUGCCCUUUGGAAAUGUAAAUGAAUACAGUUAAGAGGCUACACUGCCCUUUGAAAGAGUUCUUCUGAUCUCUUAGGAGCUUUACAUUUAGAAGAACAUGGAUGGAUGAGAAACUUGAUGUGGACUCUGUGCCUUUCACCAAAGGAGGAAAUUACUGUUUGCCUUUGAAUCAAAGGAUGAAAAGAACUUUUGAGUACAGUAUACAACUGAGGACCUAUGUGAUGUUAGCAACAAAAAAUUAACAGAAGAGAACAACAAAUCUCAAGGAAAAAGAGAAAUUUAGUAUGAAAUAACCUUGAACAUUUAGAAAUUUUCCAUUCAUUAUUCCACCCCCCCCACCCCCCCCAAAAAACAAGGAGCUUCUGAAUUUUACUUCAACGAGAGAGGGACUUUCCUAUAUAGAAUUGCCUUCUCCAUCUGGGAAGAGUUCUUUUUUCAUCCCCUGGCUUCUAUCAGAACAGCAUUGAUGUUCUCAGUGAAAUAAGAAGAGAGAAGGACUCCUUCUGUCACCCAGGCUGAGGUGCAAUGGCCUGAUCACAGUUCACUGCAGCCUUGAAUUCUUAGACUCAAGCUACUCAUCCACCUAAGCCUCCCAAGUAGCUGGGACUACAGGCUCACACCACCUCACCUGGGGUCUGGCUCUGUUGCCCAGUCUGGAGUGUGAUGGCAAAAUCAUGGUUCACUGCAACCACUACCUCUCAGGCUCAAGGGGUCCUCCCACCUCAGCCUUCCUAGUAGCUGGGACCACAGGCGUAUGCCACCACACCCAGGAGUGGUGAUGGUAUUCUUUUAUCCACUUUGAGAGAAACUUUGAGAAUGUGAACAGCCACAAAUUUAGAAGUUUCUUUUUUGCUUUGCUAUAUACAUGGACAAUAAUCCUGUACCUUGCCUGUGAUCUUCCAGAUUGCCCUUUCCAGAAUAUCACAUAAUUGGAAUCAUACAUUUUGUGGCUUUUCCGGACUGGUUUAUUUCACUUAACAAUGUGGACUUAAGAUUCAUCUCUGUUUGGCCAUGGCUUGAUAGCUCAUUUUUUAAAGUUGCUGAAUAUGGAGGUCCUGAAGAAAUGUUUCAGGAGCUUGAUCUGACUUGUUUGAAAUUUCCAUUGAAUGCUCUGCUCCUGUCUGCAGCUGAUUUCAGUGCAAUGGUUUUGCCAGCGAUCAAGUAGAAAAUUUCCUCACCUUUAAUUUUUCAGUCACAAUUUUGUAAGCUUAACAGAUGGAGAUGCCUAUGGUUUUGGCUAUUGUUUGUGCUGUAAAUUGUUAGUUUUCUUCAAAUAGAACAUGAACAAGAUUAAUUUUUUCCUUGCAAAUUGAUGUGAAUAGUCUACGUCUGCAAUCUUAUACUUCAAUGUUGCUCCAUCACUUCUUAGAAUAAGUUAUUGAUCUGUAAACUUCUGAUUUAUUUGGGGCAUUGUCUCAAUAAACUUUUCAUAAACCACCAAUGAUUUUAUCACUCUUCCAUCCAGGCUUCACCACAAAGUUGAUGUUUGUUAUUGCUUCAAUAUUAGCAAAAUUUAUGUUGCUCUGACAGGGGCUCUUUUCAAACUGAUGUUUUAUCCUUUGUAUUUCCUCAAAUUAGGUCCUGCUCAGCAAUGUUAUUACAAGUUAGUACAAGUUUAUUUUGGUCCAAAAAAGUUGAUAUCCAUGCAGAGUUUUUUUUUAAUAAUACACACUUUCCAUGAAUUGUUUGAAGACCCCUUGUGUAUUACUAAGUAAAAGAAGUCACAUACUAUUUGAUUCUAACCAUAUGGCAUUCUGGGAAAGGCAAAAACCAUAGAUAUGGUAAAAGGAUCAGUAGUUGCUAGGGGAUAAGGGGAGGGAAAGAUGAAUCAUCAAAGCAUACAAGAUUUUUAUGGCAGUGAAACUAUACUGUAUGAUAUUAUAAUACAUAUCAUUAUAUAUUUGUCAAAACUCAAAGAAUGUACAACACCAAUGUACAACACCUAAUGUAAUACCAUGAACUUUGGGUGAUAUUGUUAAUGUAGGGUCAUUAAUUGCAACAAGUAUACCACUCUGGAGGGGAAUGCUGAUAAUGAAUGAUUGAUUCUAUAUUUUUAUUAUAUAUAGAAAUAUUCAAGUUAUCUAUUACUCCCAUGUGAAUUUAGUAGAGUGUUUCUUUUAAGAAAUUGGUCCAUU